CUUUGCUGUAGUGUUUUCCAGCGUUGCACAUGGACAAGCAUCUGGACUUCAGGGCAAGUCCAAAGAUAGAUGUUGCAACAAACAUAGCUCUGGAAUAAAAACACCUGAAAAUAUCUCAGAAGAGCUGGCUAUAUGUUUUGGCAACAGAGUCACUGUGGCACUAUGGAUCAAACACAUCCGGAUUUACUUUUAUGCCUCUGAGAAUCUGAGAACUGCAGCAUUACAUCUCAGCCAUCCCAAACUGUUGUAGAAGCAGCUAAAAGGAAAGUUUCAGAAGAAAAAGGGCAAAUCUUGCUUCUGUUUGAAAUCAUAUCCUUACAAUUUAAUGGUA